rnacentral:lncRNA from 1 species
UGGUUUGAGUCACAGAAAAACAAUUUAUUAAGAAUUAUUCCCUCGGUUUGAUUGUAGUUGAUGUUUAAAGUUUUUGCACAACGAUUAAAAAAAUAUAAAUUUUUAUACAAUUUAUUUUGGUUACAUAAAAAUAAUAUUAAAUAAAAUAAUUCAACUAAUAAAAAUGCAGUAUUUUGUAAUUGGUCAAAAUUUUCAAAUCACAUUAAAUUUUAUCUAAAAUAUUGAGAACUUCGCUUAUUAUGAAGCAAAACAAAAAUAGUAUUAAUAACAAACGAUUAAGAUGGGUUUUCAUAAAACAAAUUAUAAUGGUGUAAUAGAAUCUUCAUAUGUAAUUUUUUUUAAACAAAUUCACAUAUAUUAAAACGAUGGAAGUGACAAUGACAAAUUAUUUUUCGAAAAACCCACAAAAUUCC